CUUACACAUGCAAGUCGAACGAUGAACCACUUCGGUGGGGAUUAGUGGCGAACGGGUGAGUAACACGUGGGCAAUCUGCCCUGCACUCUGGGACAAGCCCUGGAAACGGGGUCUAAUACCGGAUACUGAUCUACUUGGGCAUCCAAGUGGUUCGAAAGCUCCGGCGGUGCAGGAUGAGCCCGCGGCCUAUCAGCUUGUUGGUGAGGUAAUGGCUCACCAAGGCGACGACGGGUAGCCGGCCUGAGAGGGCGACCGGCCACACUGGGACUGAGACACGGCCCAGACUCCUACGGGAGGCAGCAGUGGGGAAUAUUGCACAAUGGGCGAAAGCCUGAUGCAGCGACGCCGCGUGAGGGAUGACGGCCUUCGGGUUGUAAACCUCUUUCAGCAGGGAAGAAGCGAAAGUGACGGUACCUGCAGAAGAAGCGCCGGCUAACUACGUGCCAGCAGCCGCGGUAAUACGUAGGGCGCAAGCGUUGUCCGGAAUUAUUGGGCGUAAAGAGCUCGUAGGCGGCUUGUCACGUCGGUUGUGAAAGCCCGGGGCUUAACCCCGGGUCUGCAGUCGAUACGGGCAGGCUAGAGUUCGGUAGGGGAGAUCGGAAUUCCUGGUGUAGCGGUGAAAUGCGCAGAUAUCAGGAGGAACACCGGUGGCGAA
rnacentral:rRNA from 1 species